rnacentral:rRNA from 1 species
UACGGAGGAUGCAAGCGUUAUCCGGAAUGAUUGGGCGUAAAGCGUCCGCAGGUGGCUGUGUAAGUCUGCUGUCAAAGAGCAAAGCUCAACUUUGUAAAGGCAGUGGAAACUACACGGCUAGAGUGCGUUCGGGGCAGAGGGAAUUCCUGGUGUAGCGGUGAAAUGCGUAGAGAUCAGGAAGAACACCGGUGGCGAAGGCGGCAUCCUGGACCGGCAUUGACGCUGAGGAGCGAAAGCCAGGGGAGCAAACGGG